AUCGGGGCAGGGUGAGUCGACCCCUAAGGCGAGGCCGAAAGGCGUAGUCGAUGGGAAACAGGUUAAUAUUCCUGUACUUGGUGUUACUGCGAAGGGGGGACGGAGAAGGCUAUGUUAGCCGGGCGACGGUUGUCCCGGUUUAAGCAUGUAGGCUGGUUAUCCAGGCAAAUCCGGAUAAUCAAGGCUGAGGUGUGAUGACGAGGCACUACGGUGCUGAAGUAACAAAUGCCCUGCUUCCAGGAAAAGCCUCUAAGCAUCAGGUAACAUCAAAUCGUACCCCAAACCGACACAGGUGGUCAGGUAGAGAAUACCAAGGCGCUUGAGAGAACUCGGGUGAAGGAACUAGGCAAAAUGGUGCCGUAACUUCGGGAGAAGGCACGCUGGUGUGUAGGUGAAGUCCCUGCGGAUGGAGCUGAGACCAGUCGAAGAUACCAGCUGGCUGCAACUGUUUAUUAAAAACACAGCACUGUGCAAACACGAAAGUGGACGUAUACGGUGUGACGCCUGCCCGGUGCCGGAAGGUUAAUUGAUGGGGUUAUCCGUAAGGAGAAGCUCUUGA
rnacentral:rRNA from 1 species